ACUAUCGCGGUUACUUAAAAUUUUCCUUUUAUAAAUAGAAUUUGUUUGGCGAAAUAUGCAAUUGGAACCAAAUUUACAAACUCCGAUGCAAAAACAAUAAGCGGGUCAUGGGCCUGCAUAAUGCAUUAAAACUUGACUGUUUACGUUUUUUGAACGACUUGGACAGCAUACUUGAGCAGUUUAUUUUGCUAAAUUUUGGUGAAUAUUGUAAUAAGUGAAAGGGUGAACAGGUGUGAGCCGACAGAUAUGGAUAGUGCUACGACAGAGUAAUUUCACAGAGUCACACAGCACGACCAACUUGCGCUCGUUCCAUUGUUAUAAAUUGGUCCACAAAAAGACGCUCGCCGAUAAGGAAAUUAGCCUGGCCUACAAGCGGCCUAAGCAUCAGAACCAGCCGACACUGAGCAACGUAUCUUGAAGAACAUCAUCAAUGGCAAACAGCAGCGACGGGACUUGCGUUAGGCCGCCCUGUGUCGUGCCAGUUUAGUACUAUUGUUAAAUCCUAGCGAUCGGCCAGGACUAAGUAGGGCACUUCCCUAAAAAGGUGAAUUGUUAAUACCAUGCAGGAAUUUUUGUCAGACCCUCUGUGAGUGACAGAUAAUGAAAAAUAAAUAAUGCUUCGCCUACUAUUCUGAGAUCUUAUUUUUGAAUUAAAUUCCU